UACUAGAGUAGCACUCGCAUAUCAAUAAGCGGAGGAAAAGAAACUAACUAAGGAUUCCCCUAGUAACGGCGAGUGAAGCGGGAGGAGCUCAAAUUUGAAAUCUUAAAGGGUUUCCCUUUACGAAUUGUAGUUUAAAGAAGUGUUUUCUGUUGAGGUUUUGGUAAAAGUUCUUUGGAAUAGGACAUCAUAGAGGGUGAGAAUCCCGUAUUUGACCUUUACUUUCAACUUUGUGAUACACUUUCAAAGAGUCGGAUUGUUUGGGAAUGCAGUCCAAAAUGGGUGGUAAAUUUCAUCUAAAGCUAAAUAUUGGCGAGAGACCGAUAGCGAACAAGUACCGUGAGGGAAAGAUGAAAAGAACUUUGAAAAGAGAGUUAAACAGUACGUGAAAUUGUCAAAAGGGAAGCGUUUGACACCAGUGUUGUUUUUCUGAAAAUCAAUUAAAGGACUGUUUAUGCUAAGCUGUUUAGACUUUAUCAGCUAUCUGUUUAGUUUUGAGCUUUUCUUUAAUGCACUUUUCAGUUAACAAGUCAACAUCAAUUUCUUUUGCUGUAAAAAAGCUUGAGGAAGGUGGCUUGAGAUUCGUCUUAAGUGUUUAUAGCCUCUUGCCUAUGCAGUCGGAGAGAUUGAGGUCUGCAGCGUAGAUCCUUCGGGGCUAAAUGCAUUUGUGCUAAGUUAUAGCAUUUUAUAGACAACUUGUUGACUAUGAUUUGUCUUGUAGCUUACUCGCUUAUGUUAUUUUACCUACGCUUAGGAUGUUGAGCGCAUGUCUCUCUCU
rnacentral:rRNA from 1 species